UACAGAGGGUGCGAGCGUUGUCCGGAAUCACUGGCGUAAAGGGCGCGUAGGUGGUGGCUUAAGCGUGCGGUGAAAGCUCGGGCUCAACCCGAGUCGGCCGUGCGAACUGGGCUCACUGGAGCAUAGUAGAGGCAGGUGGAAUUCCUGGUGUAGCGUGGAAUGCGCAGAUAUCAGGAGGAACACCGGUGCGAAGCGGGUCUCUGGGCAGUAACUGACGCUGAGGAGCGAAAGCGUGGGGAGCGAACAGG
rnacentral:rRNA from 1 species